AGAGUUUGAUCCUGGCUCAGAACGAACGCUGGCGGCAGGCUUAACACAUGCAAGUCGAACGCCCCGCAAGGGGAGUGGCAGACGGGUGAGUAACGCGUGGGAACAUACCCUUUCCUGCGGAAUAGCUCCGGGAAACUGGAAUUAAUACCGCAUACGCCCUACGGGGGAAAGAUUUAUCGGGGAAGGAUUGGCCCGCGUUGGAUUAGCUAGUUGGUGGGGUAAAGGCCUACCAAGGCGACGAUCCAUAGCUGGUCUGAGAGGAUGAUCAGCCACAUUGGGACUGAGACACGGCCCAAACUCCUACGGGAGGCAGCAGUGGGGAAUAUUGGACAAUGGGCGCAAGCCUGAUCCAGCCAUGCCGCGUGAGUGAUGAAGGCCUUAGGGUUGUAAAGCUCUUUCACCGGAGAAGAUAAUGACGGUAUCCGGAGAAGAAGCCCCGGCUAACUUCGUGCCAGCAGCCGCGGUAAUACGAAGGGGGCUAGCGUUGUUCGGAAUUACUGGGCGUAAAGCGCACGUAGGCGGAUAUUUAAGUCAGGGGUGAAAUCCCAGAGCUCAACUCUGGAACUGCCUUUGAUACUGGGUAUCUUGAGUAUGGAAGAGGUAAGUGGAAUUCCGAGUGUAGAGGUGAAAUUCGUAGAUAUUCGGAGGAACACCAGUGGCGAAAGCGGCUUACUGGUCCAUUACUGACGCUGAGUGCGAAAGCGUGGGGAGCAAACAGGAUUAGAUACCCUGGUAGUCC
rnacentral:rRNA from 1 species